GCUCAGGAUGAGGAAUGAAGACGGCCAUCUUGAGCUCAAACAAACAGAAGUCCUCUGAUGAUCUCAUCAGCCAAAUGAGGGGUUUUGACCAAGUGAUGCUCUUGAAAGGAGUGAAAGAAGAGGAUGUGGUAAAUUGUCUUCAGAGAAAAAGCUUCUCAAAAGGUCUUAAAACAGCUUGAAGAAUGGUCUGGGAUGUUAGGACUGAGAGAUCCUCUGGCUGAGAACAAGCUACACCACAUCAGUGCUGGACAUCAACCACAAACUGUUUCCAGACACGAGAGAAGAAGAUCACGAUGGGGAGAUGAAACCAGUUUAGAUGUGAUGAUGGGAAUCAUUAUUUUCUGGAACAGUAUCACAUGUCUUAUAUGUAUCACAUGAUCUGUAUCACAGUUGACUGGAUGGGACUGUGUGACUUUUAAGGACAUUUCAUCACUCAUCUGUGUGAACUGAUUUAUAUAUGAGGUUAAUGUAUCUUUGAUGAUAAUUAUUUUCAUUGAAUCUUAUUUGUCUUGAUGCUACUUUAUCAACUUUAUAGUCUAUGCUUCAAUAAAAUGAAAAUGGUGAA